AAUUAUUGCAUUAUGGGGACUGGGGACAUGACAAUCAAGAGUUGAUAGUAGUAGUAGUAUGUAUUACUAUUAUUAUUCCCUGUUUGUCCUAAUAAAAAUACUCCUUUUUUUUUGUAAGGACAUCAUCUCCUUCUCAUGGCCAUUAAACGCACUCUUUUGAAAAAUAUCUAAACAAAAUGAGCCAUAAAUAUCAAACAGUCUUCACUCCAAUGCUAUGCUACUCUUUUCUAGGGGUGUAAAUGAUGAGUAGGUUUUUAAACCAUAAAUUAUGUUUAGUUGGUCUGUUUUUGUAUUUGUUUUUAUGCAUUUUUAUGCUACUGUUGAUGAGUUUUUCGUUUAAUGUAGGAAAAGCAGAGGCGUCUUGCGUUUAGAAGCAUUUGAGAUUGUGUGAUCAGUUAAUGAAGUUGCUGAUGGUGUAGCGCUGGCAGCGCCGUGAGGAGCGCUGACUGCGCUGGGCUGGCGCUGACAGCGCCGGGUCGAUUAUACAUACUGAUGCACUGGCGCUGACUGCGCUGCGGGAAGGCCACAAUGGCGUUGACUGCGCUGGGGCGGUGAAUUGUUUUCUAACGAAGAGUUAGAUAGUAGUAGUUGGGGAGAUUUAGAAUUGUUUUAAGUUGUUUUGGAUAGGAAGUGGAGGCAAACUAGGAGAGUUUCUAGACAAAAGAUGGUCUACAAGUAAAAAAAGUGACGGGAAAAAAAAGGGAGAUACACAACUUGGAAAAAGAACGACAUUGGAGAUCAAGCUUGGAGGUUUAGAGAAGAAGGAAUAACUUCACGAAAAUUGAAAGAAUCAAAUUCAGAGAAGGGUGGUGUUUUAUUAUUCUUCCUUAAUUUUUAUUAUCUGUAAUUGGGAUGAUGUCUCCUUUUAUUUAUUCAGUAGUUAAUUUAUUUAUGAUGAAUUAAUUAUCUUUUUAGGCAAUUGAUGGAUCUUUGAGUGGAACAAUGGUUUAUUAGCUUUAAUUCUCAGUUUAAUAAAAU
rnacentral:lncRNA from 1 species